AUGAAAUUUAUAAGUUGGAACUACCGGGGAGUCGGGAACAGCCCGACAGUUCGAUCUCUUCUCGAGCUGGGAAGAGUAGAGGAGCCCGACGUACUGUUUCUGUGCGAGACUAGGUUGGAGGACAAAGAGUUGGACCGUUUUCGAUGGCUGCUAGGGCUCACCCAAAUGUGCUCUUGGAAGGGGGGGGGGAGGAGUAGAGGGGUGGCAAUGUUUUGGAGGAAGGAGGUGGACGUUACGUUGAGAUCGUUCGGGAGAAGGCACAUUGACGUUGAUGUAAGGAGGGAUGACGGUUUGAUCUGGAGGCUUACGGGAGUGUAUGGCGAGUCAGAGAUGGAUAGGAAAAAAGAAACAUGGCGAAUGAUGUGA
rnacentral:rRNA from 1 species